UACAGAGGGUGCUAGCGUUGCUCGGAAUCACUGGGCGUAAAGCGCACGUAGGCGGCUUUUUAAGUCAGGGGUGAAAUCCUGGAGCUCAACUCCAGAACUGCCUUUGAUACUGAGAAGCUUGAGUCCGGGAGAGGUGAGUGGAACUGCGAGUGUAGAGGUGAAAUUCGUAGAUAUUCGCAAGAACACCAGUGGCGAAGGCGGCUCACUGGCCCGGUACUGACGCUGAGGUGCGAAAGCGUGGGGAGCAAACAGG
rnacentral:rRNA from 1 species